UGCAGUCGCGAGAAAGUGGAGCAAUCCAUGAGUAAAGUGGCGACCGGGUGAGUAACACGUGACUAACCUACCCUACAGUGGGGGAUAACCUCGGGAAACCGGGGCUAAUACCGCAUAACAUCACAGAGUGAAAUUCUUUGUGAUCAAAGGAGCAAUUCGCUGAAGGAGGGGGUCGCGGCUGAUUAGCUAGUUGGUGAGGUAACGGCCCACCAAGGCUUUGAUCAGUAGCCGGCCUGAGAGGGCGCACGGCCACACUGGAACUGAAACACGGUCCAGACUCCUACGGGAGGCAGCAGUGGGGAAUUUUGCGCAAUGGGGGAAACCCUGACGCACAACGCCGCGUGGAGGAUGAAGUCCCUUGGGAUGUAAACUCCUUUCGAUCGGGACGAUUAUGACGGUACCGGAAGAAGAAGCACCGGCUAACUCUGUGCCAGCAGCCGCGGUAAUACAGAGGGUGCAAGCGUUGUUCGGAAUUAUUGGGCGUAAAGGGUGCGUAGGCGGUGCGGUAAGUUUGUGGUGAAAUCUUCAGGCUCAACUUGAAGACUGCCGCGAAGACUGCCGUGCUGGAGUAUGGGAGAGGUGAGUGGAAUUCCUGGUGUACGGUGAAAUGCGUAGAUAUCAGAGGAACACCUGUGGCGAAAGCAGCUCACUGGACCAUAACUGACGCUGAUGCACGAAAGCUAGGGGAGCAAACAGGAUUAGAUACCCUGGUAGUCCUAGCCCUAAACGAUGAUUGCUAGGUGUGUCGGGUACCCAAUCCCAACGUGCCGAACUAACGCGAUAAGCAAUCCGCCUGGGGAGUACGGUCGCAAGAUGAAACUCAAGGAAUUGAGGGGGCCCGCACAACGGUGGACAUGUGGUCAAUU
rnacentral:rRNA from 1 species